UACGGAGGGUGCAAGCGUUAUCCGGAUUCACUGGGUUUAAAGGGUGCGUAGGUGGGUCUGUAAGUCAGUGGUGAAAGCCCAACGCUUAACGUUGGAACUGCCAUUGAUACUGUCGAUCUUGAAUGUGUUUGAUGUGGGCGGAAUAUGACAUGUAGCGGUGAAAUGCUUAGAUAUGUCAUAGAACACCGAUUGCGAAGGCAGCUCACAAAGCCACUAUUGACGCUUAGGCACGAAAGCGUGGGGAUCAAACAGG
rnacentral:rRNA from 1 species